UAUUCAUCUUCCACAGGAUAAGACCUUUUAAGCAAAAACUGAUAUUUUUCAUGUCUACUUUAAUAUCACUCGUGAAUCAAGACUUGAGGCUAAUAUAUAGAAUUGAACUUGUUAAGAUUUCUCAACAUCUAACUCAAGAGCAAUUCAUAAGGCUCUUAAGUUUUUGCAAAGAUUACAUUCCGGAGAGUGAUUCGAGUGGCUUCUCCAUACCAGAUGAAAUUUUUGGGUGCUUGGAGGAAAAGGGAGUUAUUUCGUACGAGAAAGUCAGCUUUCUGACGAAAUUCGCCAACGCGAUAUGAAGGAGAGAUCUCGGCGCCAACCUUACCAGAUUUGAAAUAACAAGAGAGCUGAUAAUCUACGCUUUGAACAGGCCAGGGUUAGAAGCUACUAUUAUUUCGUCGACCACAAGUCUGGGUCAGCAUUUAGCCAAAAUGAUGGAUGUUGUCCAAGAUAGAGUUGAUGCUCCAGUCCAAGGAUUGUUCAGGUUCCUCCUUAUGCCCGGACAAAAUGUUUCCAACGUUCUGGACGUAAUCAUCGGUGAUGUACUACCUGGCUAAGAUAUAUCCAAAAGCUGGAAUAGCCUGGCCUUGCGCUUCGCCACUGCGGCGGAAAUUGUCUGGCUGGUCAUCAGAGAGAACCAAGCGCAAGAGAAUGGUACAAAGAAUGCAUUACAGGUCGCCAAAAAGCUGGCUAGUCAUCUAUUGUCUAAGAUGGACAAAUUUGAGAUCUGGGAGAAGUUUUGCUCAUUUGUCAUGGAACGACACCAAGGAUACUUUCGCGCGUCAGUUCCUGAACCAGUGCCUGACUUUCCAUGGCAGUUAAUGUUAGGCUUGAUUGAGAAAUUGAAGAAUACCUUCUUCACUGAAAAAUGAGGAUAAGUAUCAUCCAGUUUAACGUAGUCAUUGGUUUAAUUUAGCAAAUAUUGAAGGGACAAAAAAUCUAAGUAGUCAAGAAAAGAGUAGAUAUAGUGAACUGAAAGAGAGAAGUAGCUAAUUCAUUUUUCUCGCUAUCUCAAAUAUUCACGCGUGGUGAACUUGAACAGAAUUUUUUUCAAAGGAUCUACGAUUUACCCAUUGGUCUUGGUCUUGGUCUUGGUCUGGGUCUGAGUCUGAGUCUGGUAUGCAUGUGAGCAGUACAAAUUUGCAUAUUGAUCAUUUUUAUGAUUUUAUCCCCAGGUUCGCUGAGUCGAGAACCGUUUGAACAUACAACAAACAAGGAAGUGAUGUCUCAAUUUUGGACACCAACUUCCAACUAACAGACAUGUGGUUACUUCUCGAGAACCAGUUGGCAAACUUAUUGCAACAAAAGUUGCAAUACAAUCGUACCAUACAAUCGUAGCUCAUGCUACACUCUAAAAUGCUUGACUGUAUUCAAUGCUUUGAAUAAAGCACAAACUGAUAUAUA